rnacentral:rRNA from 1 species
AGAGUGAACGCUGGCGGCAGGCCUAACACAUGCAAGUCGAACGGCAGCGGGCAGUAGCAAUACUGUGCCGGCGAGUGGCGGACGGGUGAGGAAUACAUCGGAAUCUACCUUGUCGUGGGGGAUAACGUAGGGAAACUUACGCUAAUACCGCAUACGAACCAUGGUUGAAAGCGGCGGACCGCAAGGCGUCGCGCGAUUAGAUGAGCCGAUGUCCGAUUAGCUAGGUUGGCGGGGUAAAGGCCCACCAAGGCGACGAUCGGUAGCUGGUCUGAGAGGAUGAUCAGCCACACUGGAACUGAGACACGGUCCAGACUCCUACGGGAGGCAGCAGUGGGGAAUAUUGGACAAGUGGGGGGUACCUACCGUA